UGCCGUGGUGUUUGUUAAACAUUUUCAGCUCCCCUCGCUCCGCGUCAACAGCAAACGCAGCACUUCGGCCCCAAAUCUAGCUGAAACGGAGCAAAAACGUCUUCAAGAUGAGGCGGCCAGUUCGGCAGAACGGGAUGAUGUGAUGGCCGAGUCAUCGUUCAACAGUCCCACAUCACCGCAUUCACCAUCGCUCAACAGCUUCUCAAAGCAGCCGCGUGGAAGUCUUAAGAAAAUUUUCGAUAAAUUAAAACGGGCUAAUUCUGGCGCUCUUGAAGGUGAUCCAUCGACACCUCUCUCAACCGAAGAUUUCCG